rnacentral:snoRNA from 1 species
AGGGGGUGUUUGGGAGAGAGGGGUUAAAGUUUAGCCCCUCUCUCCAAAACACCCCCUUACACUU